AUGGCUCAGGAUGAACGCUAGCGGCAGGCUUAACACAUGCAAGUCGAGGGGUAACAGAGGAGCUUGCUCUUGCUGACGACCGGCGCACGGGUGCGUAACGCGUAUACAAUCUGCCUUACACUAAGGGAUAGCCCAGAGAAAUUUGGAUUAACACCUUAUAGUUUAUUUUUAUGGCAUCAUUUAAAUAAUAAAGUUUACGGUGUAAGAUGAGUAUGCGUCCCAUUAGUUUGUUGGUAAGGUAACGGCUUACCAAGACUACGAUGGGUAGGGGCCCUGAGAGGGGGAUCCCCCACACUGGUACUGAGACACGGACCAGACUCCUACGGGAGGCAGCAGUGAGGAAUAUUGGACAAUGGAGGAGACUCUGAUCCAGCCAUGCCGCGUGCAGGAAGACGGUCCUAUGGAUUGUAAACUGCUUUUAUACAGGAAGAAUAAGGACUACGUGUAGUCUGGUGACGGUACUGUAAGAAUAAGGACCGGCUAACUCCGUGCCAGCAGCCGCGGUAAUACGGAGGGUCCGAGCGUUAUCCGGAAUUAUUGGGUUUAAAGGGUCCGUAGGCGGGCUGUUAAGUCAGGGGUGAAAGUUUGCAGCUCAACUGUAGAAUUGCCUUUGAUACUGAUGGUCUUGAAUUAUUGUGAAGUGGUUAGAAUAUGUAGUGUAGCGGUGAAAUGCAUAGAUAUUACAUAGAAUACCGAUUGCGAAGGCAGAUCACUAACAAUU
rnacentral:rRNA from 1 species